rnacentral:lncRNA from 1 species
AGGCUCUGCGGAGAGCGGCUGCCACUCGCCUCUGUUUUUUUCUUGAGACCUAGUCUGGCUCUGUGGCUCAGGCUGGAGUGCAGUGGCGUGAUCACCGCUCACUGCAGCCUCAGCCUCCUCUCGCCUCAGCCGCUCGGUAGCUGGGACCACCAGCGGGCGCCACCACUCCCGGCUACAUUUUUUUGUAUUUUUAGUAGAGACGUGGGUCUCGCCAUGUUGGCUAGGCUGCUGCCGAACUCCGGGGCUCAAGCGAUCCGCCCGCCUGGGCCUCCCAAAGUGCUGAGACUGCAGGCAUGAGCCACCGCGCCCGGCCGAGAGCCUCUUUUGGCUCCUCCUUUCGCCUUUCCGGGGCCAGGCGUGUGCAGCUCUGUGAAGGGUCCCCUCCCUCUGCGGGACGUCCUCGCUGCCGAGGUCAGAGGUGCGGAGAACAUGAGACCCGAGGUCUCAACUGCUUCUUACCAAUAUUAAUUCCAGUGACUACUAUCAGAAUAUGAUGAGCAAUCCACUCAUCAGAGAAGCUGUUUCUACACUCUCCUGAAUGACCAUUUUAUAGAUGCUGGGAAAAAAUUGUAUUAAAGACUAUGAGUUAGCUGGGCUUGGUGGCUCACGCCUGUAAUCCCAGCACUUUGUGAAGCCAAGGCGGGAGCAUCGAUUGAGCCUAGCAGUUCAAGACCAACCUUGGCGGCAUAAGCGAGACCCUGUCUCUACAAAAAUUUUAAAAUUAGCCAGGUGUGGUGGUGUGCACCUAUAAUCUUAGCUACUUGGGAAGCUGAGGUGGGAGGAUUACUCAGCCUAGGAGGUUGAGGUUACAGUGAGCUGGGAUCACACCACUGCCCUUCAGCCUGGGUGACAGAGCAGGACCCCGUCUCUUAAAAAAAAAAAAAAAAGUGGUGGACUUUGUUAUCCUUAUGCAUAUGACUCAUCAAUAUAUCUGUAUUUCCAUAUAGAAAGAACACUUAGACCGGGCACAGUGACUCACGCCUGUAAUCCCAGCACUUUGGGAGGCCAAGGCUGGCGGAUCACUUGAGGCCAGGAGUUCCAGACCAGCCUGGCUAACAUGGCAAAACCCUGUCUCUACUAAAAAAUACAAAAAUUAGCCUGGUAUGGUGGCACACGCCUGUAAUCCCUGCUACUCCGGAGGCUGAGGAAUGAGAAUAGUUUGAACCUGGGAGGUGGAGGUGGCAGUGAAUCAAGAUUGCUUCACUGCACUCCAGCCUGGGCGACAGAGUGAGACUCCAUUUCAAGAAAUAGAUAACUAAAUAAAUAAAAUAAAAGAGAACACUUAGAAAGGAACAUGCUAUAGCAAACUAAAAUUAUAGAUGUCAAAAAUUUAAUCUGGAUUACCCAGCAUCUCCUAUAAGAAACAAAGGGGCCCUCUCCCUCUCCCUCUCCCUCUCCCUCUCCCUCUCCCUCCCCCUCCCUCUCCCUCUCCCUCUCCCUCUCCCUCUGAUGCCGAGCCAAGGCUGGACGGUACUGCUGCCAUCUCGGCUCACUGCAACCUCCCUGCCUGAUUCUCCUGCCUCAGCCUGCCGAGUGCCUGCGAUUGCAGGCGCGCACCGCCACGCCUGACUGGUUUUCGUUUUUUUUUGGUGGAGACGGGGUUUCGCUGUGUUGGCCGGGCUGGUCUCCAGCUCCUAGCCGCGAGUGAUCCGCCAGCCUCGGCCUCCCGAGGUGCCGGGAUUGCAGAUGGAGUCUCGUUCACUCAGUGCUCAAUGGUGCCCAGGCUGGAGUGCAGUGGCGUGAUCUCGGCUCGCUGCAACCACCUCCCAGCCGCCUGCCUUGGCCUCCCGGAGAGCCGAGAUUGCAGCCUCUGCCCGGCCGCCACCCCGUCUGGGAAGUGAGGAGCGUCUCUGCUUGGCCACCCAUCGUCUGGGAUGUGAGGAGCCCCUCUGCCUGGCUGCCCAGUCUGGCAUCCAGGCAGACUGGAUUAGGCAGUGGUUAAGAGUCAUCACCACUCCCUAAUCUUAAGUACCCAGGGACACAAACACUGCGGAAGGCCAAGGCCGCAGGGUCCUCUGCCUAGGAAAACCAGAGACCUUUGUUCACUUGUUUAUCUGCUGACCUUCCCUCCA